rnacentral:rRNA from 1 species
GAUGAACGCUGGCGGCGUGCCUAACACAUGCAAGUCGAACGAAGUGGAGGUCUUCGGACUGAAACUUAGUGGCGGACGGGUGAGUAACGCGUGGGUAACCUGCCUUGGUACAGGGGGAUAACAGAUGGAAACGUCUGCUAAUACCGCAUAAGCGCACAGUACCGCAUGGUACAGUGUGAAAAGCCUUGACGGUACAAGAUGGACCCGCGUCUGAUUAGCUAGUUGGUGGGGUAAAGGCCUACCAAGGCGACGAUGCGUAGCCGAACUGAGAGGUUGAUCGGCCACAUUGGGACUGAGACACGGCCCAGACUCCUACGGGAGGCAGCAGUGGGGGAUAUUGCGCAAUGGGGGAAACCCUGACGCAGCAACGCCGCGUGAAGGAUGAAGGCCUUCGGGUUGUAAACUUUUGUCGCAAGGGAAGAAGACAGUGACGGUACCUUGUGAGAAAGCCACGGCUAACUCCGUG